CCUACGGGAGGCAGCAGUGGGGAAUAUUGGACAAUGGGCGAAAGCCUGAUCCAGCAAUGCCGCGUGAGUGAUGAAGGCCUUCGGGUCGUAAAGCUCUUUUACCAGGGAUGAUAACGACAGUACCUGGAGAAUAAGCUCCGGCUAACUCCGUGCCAGCAGCCGCGGUAAUACGGAGGGAGCUAGCGUUGUUCGGAAUUACUGGGCGUAAAGAGUACGUAGGCGGUUAUUCAAGUCAGAGGUGAAAGCCCGGGGCUCAACCCCGGAACUGCCUUUGAAACUAGAUAACUAGAGUCUUGGAGAGGUUAGUGGAAUUCCGAGUGUAGAGGUGAAAUUCGUAGAUAUUCGGAAGAACACCAGUGGCGAAGGCGACUAACUGGACAAGUACUGACGCUGAGGUACGAAAGCGUGGGGAGCAAACAGGAUUAGAUACCCUGGUAGUCCACGCCGUAAACGAUGAUAACUAGUUGUUCGGUCACUUGGUGACUGAGUGACGCAGCUAACGCAUUAAGUUAUCCGCCUGGGGAGUACGGUCGCAAGAUUAAAACUCAAAGAUAAUAGACGNUGAGNCGACGAGCACAGGAGGUAG
rnacentral:rRNA from 1 species